UUUCUUACACCGAAUGCUUGCAUUCACCGUAAGAAGUUGAGUGGCGGACGGGUGAGUAACACGUGGGUAACCUGCCUAAAAGAAGGGGAUAACACUUGGAAACAGGUGCUAAUACCGUAUAUCUCUAAGGAUCGCAUGAUCCUUAGAUGAAAGAUGGUUCUGCUAUCGCUUUUAGAUGGACCCGCGGCGUAUUAACUAGUUGGUGGGGUAACGGCCUACCAAGGUGAUGAUACGUAGCCGAACUGAGAGGUUGAUCGGCCACAUUGGGACUGAGACACGGCCCAAACUCCUACGGGAGGCAGCAGUAGGGAAUCUUCCACAAUGGACGCAAGUCUGAUGGAGCAACGCCGCGUGAGUGAAGAAGGUCUUCGGAUCGUAAAACUCUGUUGUUAGAGAAGAACACUAGUGAGAGUAACUGUUCAUUCGAUGACGGUAUCUAACCAGCAAGUCACGGCUAACUACGUGCCAGCAGCCGCGGUAAUACGUAGGUGGCAAGCGUUGUCCGGAUUUAUUGGGCGUAAAGGGAACGCAGGCGGACUUUUAAGGCUGAUGUGAAAGCCUUCGGCUGAGACGGAGUAGUGCAUUGGAGACUGGAAGACUUGAGUGCAGAAGAGGAGAGUGGAACUCCAUGUGUAG
rnacentral:rRNA from 1 species